AUUUCUCUGGCAAAGAAAUCUUUAACUUACAGGCAAUAUCCAUGCCAUAUUAUGUCAUUAGUAGAAAUGUCAGUAAGUUUAAAAGGAGCAUAGCAAAAGGCAAUCUGACUAGAACAGGGAGAUCAGAGGAAUGCCUCUGUCAGGUAGACUACCUAUUAUUAAUGGUAAUAUCAUAUAUUAACAGCAGUAUAGUACUAAUAAAUUUUUAUUUAUUAAUAGAUAUCUUCCCUAAUUGAAAUUCAGCAGAAGACGACCAGAAUUAUAAGGCAAAAAAAGGUAUUGUAAUAAAAUAAGGAAAUGCUGUGGUGUGUAGGCWUUUGUAUAAUACUUAACUGACUGUUGGAUGAAGCCAAGUCAGUUGUUAUUCAUUUAUGCUUGAGGAUCAAAGUGCAAAGAAGCUCURGGCUGGUAAGGAACCACAACCUGCCUAGGAAAAUGUAUUCCCUCUAAUAAGGGCACCUGCUUUGUGUUUGAAUUCUUUUGAGUCUGUUCUCCAUGAAUAUCCAUGCUAACAAAUAUAUUUAUCCUAGGUAGUCUGGAUGCAUUUCUGUGCAAACCAGUGCUGAUGUCAUUUCAUUAAAAUGUCCUGAGGUCCCACCACUUGAAGGUCUGCUAAUUGUGAAACUGUGAGAACUACAAAGAAAUGAGUUAAACAGAACAGAGUGUGAAGAGUUUUCACACCUCCAUGCUUAUAAAUAAGCUGAGCCACACAAAGGUCUGGGGAAGAGUUAGAAAUUUCCUUUCUGAGGUGAGGUUUUACUUCAGUAACAUCUGCUGGCUGCCAUACAGUAGCAGAUCAGGCCUGAGUCUGUCAGCCCUUGAAAUCAUCUCAUCCUGGAGGCACUAAAUGACCAGAGUGCUCCUGCGGAUCAACUCAGGRCAACGAGUGGUGCUGGCAAUGAGAGACCUGCUUCCUUGGGGACUCUGCUCCAGCUGGGGAGACAACAUGGGCCCUACCCAGGGCUGCUGGACCCUCUGCUCCAUCCUGCUACUUCGUCUCUCCCAGGCUGUUCUCAUCAAAAUCCCUCAGGAUUUGGUCAAUGGCACUGUUGGCCAGUCCGUGCUCCUGCCCGUCUCCUACAAACUCAGCAGCUYCUCUCACUUCCCACUGCCAUUUCACUGGACAUUCAGUAACCGCUCUGAGCGAAUUGUCACCUGCACGGUGCUGAACUGCUCCCUGAGUGCUGAGGGGACUCCCAAGCACUGCUCUGCAAAACAUUUCCCACACGCCGCAUACCAAGGUCGUGUUGUGCUUUUCCCUGAGAACGCAUCCCUGCUGCUCCGGGACCUGCAGCUCAGGGACAGCGGGGUCUACAGCGUCACCUUCAAACAGCAGAUCCAAACCAGGCGCAUCACCUUAACUGUGUACAGUGAGGCACGUGCUGACACUGAUGCCAGAGGAGGGAGAUCUGGACAGAAAAUCCUUGUUAUUAUUGCUGGAUGCUUCUGUCUGAUCUUGCUGCUUCUGCUGCUGUUCUGCUACGCAUGGCACAGGGGGGCAGUUCUUCAGCUAAUGAGAUGUAUGAAUCAACAGGUCCAAAGUCCUAGUGAGCCCUGGGGAAAAUGGUCGGACACAGAGCUGGAAAGGAUUUACGCAAAUGUCAUCUACUUGGGAAGAGGUAGCUAAAAAACAGUAUUUAGCAAAUGGUAGCCCAAAGGCAAUGUACAAGCGUGGCUAAUAAAGCCGUGGGAGUUGUUCCA
ensembl:lncRNA uncharacterized LOC112987746